UCUCCGUUGGUGAACCAGCGGAGGGAUCAUUACCGAGUUAUCCAACUCCCAACCCCUGUGAAUUAUACCUUUAAUUGUUGCUUCGGCGGGACUUCGCGCCCGCCGGGGACCCAAACCUUCUGAAUUUUUUAAUAAGUAUCUUCUGAGUGGUUAAAAAAAAUGAAUCAAAACUUUCAACAACGGAUCUCUUGGUUCUG
rnacentral:misc_RNA from 1 species